AGCAUCUUCUGCACGUUCUCUUUUGCAAUAAAUAAUUUCCGGUUUCAGUACAUUUAAUCAGCCUCUGCUCAUUUUAGUUUGAAGAUCUUGAAAUGGACGGGCUUGGUUUCUGUAAUGGCCAACAGAAAUUUGUAUCUAAAGACAGGUAUUAUUUUCUUCGGUCCAUAUCUAUUUUUCUUUUUCCGAUUUGCAUUAAACUUAAUUUCUAAUCUUAUUUCUUUACUUAACUAUUAAAACAUGAGUAUCCCUGUUUUGAACUUUUGUAGACAUGACACUCCAUAGAGCUCCUUCUUCCGUGCUUUCUUUUUUCUGCUGAAGUUUCUUCAUUUUGUGAAGCUUAUUGUUGACGAGAAAAAUAUAUGAUUAAAACAGCUCAGUAAACCUCCACUGUCCAAUUUCCUUGAAUCAACAGAGAGUUAAUCUUAACUGGAACUGUUCUAGCAGCAAGAAAGAUGUGAUUAUAGGUUUACAAAGCUCCAACUACUUGACUAGAAAGAAGUUCAAUUUUGUUCCACUACGGAUGGCUCAGUUACAUCAUCUUAUCACCAUAACAAAGUGGAUGUAGCUGACCACUAUAAUGAUUCUCCUUUUUUCUUGUGGUGCCACAUUGAAUUUUUAUUGCAUGAUCUAUCGUUCUGCUUCUGAGAUGUCUCUAAAACAGGAAAAAGAGAGAGGGGGAGCAGAGUUGAUGUGAGGAAUUUCUAACCUUUACCAUACGGCAUUCUAGCAAAAUUGAGUCGUAAAGUCAGCUGAUAUCCUUCUUUUGGAGGCUCAACAAUCUCCACAACUUCAGCACUAAUUGCCUUUACCUUCUCCAUGGUGUAACGUGAUAGCCGAGUUGAGAUCAGGAAUGCUUGAGACAGAAUUGGCGUUGAUAUUGAUAAGUAGCGGGACCAUCUUAGCACAAACUUAGAGAAUAUGGUGGGUGGCUCAUCUCCUUCAAGCACUUUGGUAAUUCGUGUACCAAGCUCGUGGUCAGAAAAUGUGGCAUGCCCUUAUAUUUGCUCAAUAUUGCUGUCAUUACCUGGACUGUUGAAAGGAACAUUUGAAAAUAGUGCAAAAGGCAAAUGUAGUCCUAGAAUUGGAAUUCUACCUGUACAACACUUUCUCUUGUCUGCCAAAUAGAACCCUUCUUCUGCACACUUAAUGUCUAUCUUCUUCCACAUCAUAACUAUUUGUAAAUUCCUAUUCAUCGGCAAUGUUCACUAAUCCUGUAUUUAUCAAAACU